rnacentral:lncRNA from 1 species
UCACAUAACGUCAUCUUCAUGGGCCUCUAGCACUUCUCUCAAUCCUUAUCAAUCGAUUGCCUUGAAGAUUUUUCUCCUUAUCUAGGGGUUUCCAGUAGGGAGACCCUCUAUCCCCUUCCUUUUCACCUUAGUUGAUGAGGUGUUCAGUAGAUCCCUUGAUAGGAUGUAUAAACAAAUAUUGCUAGAGGGUUUUCAAGAUUGGCAGGAACGGCCCCGCCAUUUCCUGCCUGCAAUAUGUCAAUGACAAUAGUUUUUUGUGAUACAUCGAAGCAACAUGUAAAUACUCUACUCC